rnacentral:rRNA from 1 species
GACGAACGCUGGCGGCGUGCUUAACACAUGCAAGUCGAACGGAAAGGCCCUGCUUUUGUGGGGUGCUCGAGUGGCGAACGGGUGAGUAACACGUGAGUAACCUGCCCUUGACUUUGGGAUAACUUCAGGAAACUGGUGCUAAUACCUGAUAGGAGCUCCUGCUGCAUGGUGGGGGUUGGAAAGUUUCGGCGGUUGGGGAUGGACUCGCGGCUUAUCAGCUUGUUGGUGGGGUAGUGGCUUACCAAGGCUUUGACGGGUAGCCGGCCUGAGAGGGUGACCGGCCACAUUGGGACUGAGAUACGGCGCAGACUGCUACGGGAGGCAGCAGUGGGGAAUAUUGCACAAUGGGCGGAAGCCUGAUGCAGCAACGCCGCGUGCGGGAUGACGGCCUUCGGGUUGUAAACCGCUUUAGCCUGUGACGAAGCGUGAGUGACGGUAAUGGGUAAAGAAGCACCGGCUAACUACGUG